UACGUAGGGUGCAAGCGUUGUCCGGAAUUAUUGGGCGUAAAGAGCUCGUAGGCGGUUUGUCGCGUCUGCUGUGAAAACCUAGGGCUUAACCCUGGGCCUGCAGUGGGUACGGGCAGACUAGAGUGCGGUAGGGGAGACUGGAAUUCCUGGUGUAGCGGUGAAAUGCGCAGAUAUCAGGAGGAACACCGGUGGCGAAGGCGGGUCUCUGGGCCGUAACUGACGCUGAGGAGCGAAAGCAUGGGGGAGCGAACAGGG
rnacentral:rRNA from 1 species